rnacentral:tRNA from 1 species
AGUAUUAUAUUCAAAUAUAGAAAUAAAUUGUAAAUUUAUUAAUGAAGAUUCUAAUUCUUUUAAUACUA